CCAUGUGGACCAGGCUGGUCUCCAACUCCUGACCUCAGGUGACCCACCUGCCUCAGCCUCCCAGAGUGCUGGGGUUACAGGCAUGAGCCACCACACCCAGCAGUUUCAAAUUCUUUACCUAGGCCUUGCCCUCAGUAUUUUUUUCUCUUCCCCUUAUAGGCCUGGUUGGUUUACACAACGUUGGACAGACCUGCUGCCUUAACUCUUUAAUUCAGGUUUGUAAUGAACGUGGACUUCACCAGGAUAUUGAAGAGGACCAUGGUUCCCAAGGGAGCUGACAAGCAGAGGAGAAGUGUCCCUUUCCAGCUGCUUCUUCUGCAGGUGAAGAUGGAGGACCACUGGCAGAAUGCAGUGCAGCCCCUGGAGCUGGCCUACUUCCUGCAGAAGUACAGCAUGCUGAUAAUAAGCGGUCAGAGAUUUCCUUAAAUGCCUGAAUCGGUGAGUCUUCCAAUAUUUGUGAAGGGGCUCUGUGUGUUUGUUAGGGCACAAUUUCAAAGUGCACACAGUUUAUAAUUCUGUGUUCACUGUCAUUGCUUUCUUGUACAUGGCCUUGUGAUCAGCCAGAGGGGAAGAAUUCAGCCCUCUUAGAUCUUGGGCAUGUGCGUGGCCUUCUAGAUCCUCAGGAAUACAUCAGUGCUGUUCAAAGUCCCCUGUGAACAUCUCAUUCCCCAGGCCGAGUGCAGUGGUGUAAGCACAGCUCACUGUAGCCUCAACAGCCUGGGCUCAAGUGAUCCUCCUGCCUCUGCCUCAGCCUCCCAAGUA